rnacentral:rRNA from 1 species
AGUGAACGCUGGCGGUAGGCCUAACACAUGCAAGUCGAACGGCAGCACAGUAAGAGCUUGCUCUUACGGUUGGCGAGUGGCGGACGGGUGAGGAAUACAUCGGAAUCUACUUUUUCGUGGGGGAUAACGUAGGGAAACUUACGCUAAUACCGCAUACGACCUACGGGUGAAAGCAGGGGAUCUUCGGACCUUGCGCGAUUGAAUGAGCCGAUGUCGGAUUAGCUAGUUGGCGGGGUAAAGGCCCACCAAGGCGACGAUCCGUAGCUGGUCUGAGAGGAUGAUCAGCCACACUGGAACUGAGACACGGUCCAGACUCCUACGGGAGGCAGCAGUGGGGAAUAUUGGACAAUGGGCGCAAGCCUGAUCCAGCCAUACCGCGUGAGUGAAGAAGGCCUUCGGGUUGUAAAGCCCUUUUGUUGGGAAAGAAAAGCAGCAGGUUAAUACCCCGCUGUUCUGACGGUACCCAAAGAAUAAGCACCGGCUAACUUCGUG